rnacentral:tRNA from 1 species
GUUCUAGUGGCUUAACUAUUCAAAGCGUCGGUCUUGUAAACCGAAGACUAGAAGUGAAAUCCUUCUCUAGAACA